rnacentral:lncRNA from 1 species
AUUGGGUCCCAAAGGUGAAUAUUGAUUUUGUUGGAGAAGUGGUGUUGGUGAAUGAGCGAUGUGAAUAGAGUUAAUGGUUUAAAUUUUAAUCAAGUAAAUAUGGAGUGAAAUGGGGUUUUUCACAAGGUGUAAUCUAGAUUCAUCUUGGUGGGAAAACUAACGUUGAGUAAAGAUGGUGGUGGUAAUGUUCCUGGUAUUUGGUUUUCUAAUCGCUUGUCAAAAGUGGUUGGAAAUGGUAUAGAUACUUUAUUUUGGUUUGAUUUGUGGGUGGUUGGAGAAACAUUUAUGGAUAAACUUAACCAAUCUUUUUAGUAUAUCUAUCAAUUAAUAAACAGGUGUUUGUGAAAGAUAAGUUGAAUGAGUGGAGGUUCAGAUGACUUGGACUGGAGGCUGCAUAAAAAUAUUUUCCUUUGGGAGGAUAAUUUAGUGGGAGAAUGUAGAGAUUUUUGGCUACAUCUCUUUGCAUAAAAAUGUUAAAAAUUGCUUGGAUUUAGAAUCAAAAUCCAGGUGAAGGAUACUCUAUCAAAGAAGCACAAGAUUGAUAAUCCUCCGUAAAGCAAUGUUUCAUCGAACAAAUUGGUGUAUCAAACAAUCUCUUUACUUGAGUAGAGGCUUCACAAUGAUUGAUUAGCAACAAAAAGUAAUCUACUCAAACGUGAUUUUAAUCAAUUGGAGUAUUGUUUGUGUCAACGAAUGUGUAUUUAAUGGGAUCGCAC